rnacentral:rRNA from 1 species
GAUGAACGCUGGCGGCGUGCCUAAUACAUGCAAGUCGAGCGAACGGACGAGAAGCUUGCUUCUCUGAUGUUAGCGGCGGACGGGUGAGUAACACGUGGAUAACCUACCUAUAAGACUGGGAUAACUUCGGGAAACCGUAGCUAAUACCGGAUAAUAUUUUGAACCGCAUGGUUCAAGAGUGAAAGACGGUCUUGCUGUCACUUAUAGAUGGAUCCGCGCUGCAUUAGCUAGUUGGUAAGGUAACGGCUUACCAAGGCAACGAUGCAUAGCCGACCUGAGAGGGUGCUCGGCCACGCUGGAACUGAGACGCGGUCCAGACUCCUACGGGAGGCAGCAGUAGGGAAUCUUCCGCAAUGGGCGAAAGCCUGAAGGAGCAACGCCGCGUGAGUGAUGAAGGUCUUCGGAUCGUAAAACUCUGUUAUUAGGGAAGAACAUAUGUGUAAGUAACUGGGCACAUCUUGACGGUACCUAAUCAGAAAGCCACGGCUAACUACG